UGACCCUCUGGCGGGCUGAGAAAACGGCUUACAGCAGAUAUUAGGAGCAGCUAACAUAACCGCUGUACUUUCUGUUCACAGGUAAGCUGAGCUGUGCUGCAGGGCGUCCAGAGCAGCAGUGGGUUCUUUGUCAGAUUGGACUACAAGCAGCUCGCAGGCACUGAUGGUGGAGAGCUACACUGCUGCCCCAGGGCAGAUUGAAAGAAGCAAAGCUGCCAUAUCCACCAAGCCCUCUGACCACCACCUGCAGGCAAGGACUGGCUGGAUUGGUCCUUAUUGAGUCACCAACCUCAACUCCACUUGUGUCUUCAGCACUUUUGAGCAGAGCUAAACAACAGCUGCCUGAAAACCUGACAUGUGCAGAAAUUGAUGGCUCCUUCUUCUGUAGGAAUGGGAAACCUUACAGUUUAUUUCAGCUUUCCCACAGAGGAAUGUAUCUGGAGGAUAAAGAUAAAAGAAAUCAGCCGGCGGGGGGAUAAAGAGGUCCUCAAGUUGACAUUAUUCAGCCAUCUGAGCGGGAGACUUUCAGAUACUUCAAUGUUGACUGAUAAAGGAGAACACCACACCCCAAUUUAUCUUCAUUCGCAGCAGACAGAUUGCAGCAGCGAGUGCGUCUGGACAGGAAAGGCCAACAGAGGGAGUAGAUUGUUCAGCUGCAAAUGAAUCCAAUGUCUUCUGUGUGCAGGAUGGAUGAGGGAGUGUUGCCUGUGUGUUAAAGCGCUCUAUAUGCCAGACUGCCAGACUCCAUGUAUGGAGAUAGAUAGGCUCAGCAAUGACCAUCAUUAUGUCAAAUGUCCCCUUUUGCUUCACUGUUCCUUGUGGUGAUGGAUCUAGUAUUCAACUCAGAAGGGCGCCAUGACCUCUGAGCUCAGGCAAGCUGCAUCUUUGGGGAUUUUGGCUUUCUUCCACCAACCAAAAACAUUCAUUUUAGGUUAAGAAGACACUUUUAGUGGCAUUUAAGUGUUAGUGUGUGCAUGAAUUUAAUUUUUUUUCCCAUUUGUUCCAAGCUGGACUGGAGUUCUAUACUUUGCCUUGUCUGUUAUGAAAAUGGAAAUUGAUAUAUGGAAUGUAGAGUUUCAUAGAGUAAGGCAUUUUUUUUUUUUUUUAGAUUUUGGUUUUCUUCCUCGUGAUCCAAGCUGCUGCAGAUGCACUAAACAUAUAUUGACCUUGACAUGCUAAAUACUUACCCUAGGCUGACAUGAGUUGGAUCUGUUUUCUAACGAAUUCAGCCAACAAUCAGAACAUUAAACUUUCAACAUAAGUUCAUCAGGCAGCAAUUAAGUGUGGAAAGUAAUGCAGACAUUUUAAGGGAGUAAAGGACUGAAAUGUCACAUGUGCACCAUUUCUUCAAUUUGAACCCGCAUCAGUCAUGUUUUCAGAUGGGCAGACAUAUUGUUUAAACUGUGGUAAUAAUUUCAUAAAUACAAUCAGAAGCUCUAAGCAGCCUGGAAAGAAAAUGCAAUGUAAAUUCUCAAGUGGAUAUUUACUCUGAAUUUUCAGAGGGAGACGGCGAGUAAAAUCACAUAAUAGGACAAAAGGAUUUCCAGUUUUAUACAGGGAAGGUGGAUGUUCAACAGGCAUCCAAAGGUCAUAAAAGGCAUUUGGAGCAAGCCAGUGCACAUCCACAAUAACAUUCCUACCAGCUGAAACGACGACCAUGGGCUAAUGGUGUGAGGUAACACAAAAUGAUGGAGCAGAAGGUCAUAAACCUUUGGCCACUCACCAGGACACACCUGGCCUUUUAAAUGUGUAGAGGCAGGAAAACACUGUGGGUGCACACCUGGAUGAGACAUGCGAGUGUCUCGUUUCAAGGCAAAUGUUAAAUCUGGCUGAUAAGAAACAAUUACUUAUGAUACAGAUUUUCACUGGAACCUGACUUUUUAUUAAAGCCACGCUUUCUCAACUUUUUUUUGUUUUUACCAUCUAGUCUUUCAAUGUCUCCAAUUUAUAUAAUUAAGUGGUAAGUUG